UGGGGAAUAUUGGACAAUGGGCGAAAGCCUGAUCCAGCAAUGCCGCGUGAGUGAUGAAGGCCUUAGGGUUGUAAAGCCCUUUCACCGGGGAAGAUAAUGACGGUACCCGGAGAAGAAGCCCCGGCUAACUCCGUGCCAGCAGCCGCGGUAAUACGUAGGGUGCGAGCGUUAAUCGGAAUUACUGGGCGUAAAGCGUGCGCAGGCGGUUUUGUAAGCCAGAUGUGAAAGCCCCGGGCUCAACCUGGGAAUGGCAUUUGGGACUGCAAGGCUUGAGUGCGGCAGAGGAGACUGGAAUUCCUGGUGUAGCAGUGAAAUGCGUAGAUAUCAGGAGGAAUACCGAUGGCGAAGGCAGGUCUCUGGGCUGACACUGACGCUCAUGCACGAAAGCGUGGGGAGCAAA
rnacentral:rRNA from 1 species